GUUAAUGUAGCUUAAUACUAAAGCAAGGCACUGAAAAUGCCUAGAUGAGUUUUACAGAACUCCAUAAACA
rnacentral:tRNA from 1 species